UUGCUUGACUACUGCCCUUUAUGGGAACAUGUUUACACCCAUGUCAGAGGCUUCGUAGCACCCAAGGACGCACAGGAGGUGACGAUGAUAAGCUGACACUACUGGAGCUGACUCACUCCAACGGAUCCACCGUAUCUGAACUACCAGACUUGUUUAUACUAACAGCCCAAACCAGAUUCCAGAUCAGCUGAGGGUUCAGUGUUUGUCCUGACAUUACUGGUCAUGAGUAACUAUGGUCUUAUCCUGGAUCAGAAUCUCUGCUGGAACACAGUCAGCUUACUAGGAGGAAACUCUUAAAUAGUAUCUGUGACAGGCGGCUGCGGCUCCAGGCCGGAGGAAUGACCAAACAGGAUGUGGGGGCAAUUUACACAUACACAGGCAGUUCGGCCCCUUGACAUGGAUUAUUCCAAUUUAAGAGAGGCAGCAUGUACGAUUGCUUGAGCAGUUCACUUUUCAGUUGAUAACCAGAGACAAAGACAGAACAGAGUGAAAAGAAAUGGAAAAGAAGUGGAGGUCUGGGAUUGGGACAUGUUAAAGCCAGAUUGGCACCUGUAUUACUUUUAGUGUUACACUGAUAUAUAAGCAAUCAUGGCGAUAUUUUGAGAUUACUGGCUUCGGUAAUAACAGUGUCGGUUUUUGACUGUGAUGUCAAUAGAUAAUGCACAUUUUUCAGUUUUCUAAUAUUUGUUAAUUAAUUUUGAGCAUCUAUUGUGUGAAAUAAGUGCUGCUCCUAUGGCUUUAAAUGAAGUGAAUUCAGAAAACCAAUAAUUAAAUUUAACUUGAUGUUUUAUAAAAAGAUUUAAUGUGAAAGUAGUCAGUUUUGACAAACUAUUUUACAACAACAAUGUACUUAAGGGUAUAGAGUAGGGGACCAUUUAGUCAUCAGUGGAUUCCAUCUGGCUUACACCUUCAACAUGUCUGCCAAACUUUUCUUAACAAAGAUAAAACAAGAGGAUAUUCACCGUCCAAACACAAUUAGCAUUUUCUUAGACAUUUUACCUCUCUUAACCAUCACUAUUACUUUUGGUCAUACUUAGAGUUUAGAAUUUGAAUAUAACCAUAACCUUACGAUAUACUUGUAUUGAAGAGGAAAAUAAAAAAUUAUGACUGA